CUAUGGUCAAAAAUAUUUUUAGCACACAAAAAUCUCACAUUAAACACCACACACAUUGAAAUCAGUAGAAAAGUGUUAUAUAGGAUGUAUCUGGUACCGGCUAAACUUCAUAAAAUCGAUAGGAAUAGACCUCGGUCAUGUUGGAGAUGCCAGUCUGGGCUGGGGACAAUGAUCCACAUGUGGUGGUCUUGCCCCAAGCUUCAGACCCUUUGGGGAAAUGUCUCAACCACGAUUAAAACAAUCACAGGUAAAAUACUACCACACACGCCAGAAACGUAUUUGCUGCUGGUGAUACCACAAGACUUCCAAAAACCAGACCUUCCUAACUUAUCUCAUUAUUGCUGCUCUGGUGGCAAUAGGGAGGGCAUGGCUAAAAGUAGACCCACCGGACAUCCAACAAUGCCUAAGGUAAAUAGAUGCCACUAAAAAAUACGAAGUUGAAACAAGAAAGAUGAGAUCCAGAAAUAAAAUGUGGUCUAUGGCAUGGGAAAAAUGGGAAAUAUGGCGGCAGAAUACAGGUAUACCCGCAUAACAGGUGCAUUGUCCACUCAGUUCACCUAUACAAUUCGCAUGCAGCAGACCGACUCCCCCCCCCCUUGCUAGAUGUUUCCUAGUUGUUUCCAGAUAUUUCCCACUUUGCACUGUUAAAGAGGGAAGGGACAUACGAUGUAAAUCGGUUACACAAGCUGACACUGAAUUAGACUCUAUGACAAAUAAUAAUCGAGAUAAUUUAUGGAAGCUGUAACCUCAAUGUUGUGCAUAACUGUACAUGUAUCGCCCCUUGCAUGGGGAAAUAAU